AAUAGAUCCAUAAAAUCUCUAGAUUAGCAGGAACCUGGUGGCCAUCUGGUCCAAAUACCUGACCAGUACUUGAAUUCCUGCUAUAAUAGUUCUGAUAACUGAACCUUUAGCUUUGGUUAAAUAUCACAUAAUAUCACCUCAAGAUGCAGCCCUUUGUAAUUUUUUGUGAGAUCGGAAGAGCCUCGUGUAGGG